GGCAGGAUGGCCGUCACCAGAUAGGCGCUGCGUUAAGGCCGCAGUCCGAAAGGGCGUGGGUUCGAACCCCACUUCUGUCA
rnacentral:tRNA from 1 species